rnacentral:lncRNA from 1 species
ACAAUGGGCGCGGCGCCCGAGCCCCUGACAGCGCCAUAAAUUGGCCGUGCAAAGCCGAGCGCUAGGUGGUCCCCCCUGGAGAAAAGAGCCGCCGCCGAGGGCGCGAAAAGGCGAGUCCGGAAGCCCGCCAGGGAGCCAGUGGCGCGUUUUCCAGAUCACCCUGUUGGAACUUAGCGUAGCAGAGGAAGAACACCAUGGAAUAAGGAGAAAGGAGAUACAAGUAGCCUCUCCAGGAAGAAUGUGACUGAAUACUUUUUAUACAAAACCACAAAAUUAGAUAAAUAUGUAUUUAAGUGUUAUUCCUGAAAGCUGGAGAAAGAAAUCUUACUUCUAAGAAUUGUUUAGCGAAGGAAUAAGAAAAUGUGAUGCUUGGAAGAAAAAACACACUGCCGAGAGGCCUUGCGCUGAGUGUGCUGAACAAUAGACAACCUCUAAGGAUGCUCGCCUGCAAUUCCGGCUCUGCCAUCAAUUCACUGUAUGCCUUUGGAUCAUCUACAAGACAUGAAUGAUGUUCAGAAUUACUUGUCAUGCCCUUUGCUUGGGGCUGAAAACAAGAUGCAGUCACACAGAUUUCAAUGGAGUGUGUACUCUAGAGGCAGACUGCCUGGGAUCAAAAUGCUUGCAGUAUAACCAUUGACAGCUUCCAUAACUUAUCUCUUCCCAGGUUAAUCAACCUGUAAAAUGGGGUAAUAUCUGCUCCUCCCUCAUAGGGUUGUGCAUAAAAAUCUCAUGAGAUUAUAGGUGUAGAGAGGUGAGAACCCACAGAAACCUUUCCAUAAAUGCUACCUAUUAUUAUUAAAUUCUAGCUUUCUUUCAGUUUUCAAAUUUAAAGUAAAGACUAAAAUCAGCUGAGAUAUACUGCAAUCUCCAGCUAAUGUUUGGAGAAGCAUUAGUAGUAUUCCCUUCAUCUUUCCUCAUCCCCUCCUUUUAAAGAACUCUAACUGGGAACAUGCAUUUAUUUCCCUCAUAUCUGUACAAGCCAUUGAUUUGCCAGGAGAGAAAUACAAAGACUUUCACAUUUUUGCUGCUCUCUCUCCUGAAUUAAUACUCCACUUCUGAAUUUAAGGCAGCAAAACUCCAUUCAGUGUUUUAAGAGUGGGUAAAAUAUAUAGAAAUGAGAAUAGCUUUGACAAGUUAACAUCCAUGUGAAUGAGACUAGAGAAAUAACAUUCUGUAUAUGAGUGCUUUUCUUCUAAAUCAUCUUACCAACUUUCAAGUGAUUAGACAAUUUUGUUUCAUUCCCUUCAAACUUACAAAUUAAUAUUUUUAAGAGAUGGAGUUAAUAACCAGUUAAAAACUAUAAAGGCUUCCUCAAUUGAAGGUCGGAGCUUUGCUAUCUAAAACUGACUUAGAGUUACAAUAAAAAUAGCAAUAUCAUGAAA